GACGAACGCUGGCGGCAUGCCUAACACAUGCAAGUCGAACGAGACCUUCGGGUUUAGUGGCGCACGGGUGCGUAAAGCGUGGGAACCUGCCCUUAGGUUCGGAAUAACUCCCCGAAAGGGGUGCUAAUACCGGAUACUGUCUUCGGACCAAAGAUUUAUCGCCUUUGGAUGGGCCCGCGUUGGAUUAGCUAGUUGGUAGGGGACAAGCCUAACAAGGCGACGAUCCAUGGCUGGUCUGAGAGGAUGAUCAGCCACACUGGGACUGAGACACGGCCCCGUCCGGGACGGAGGGCAGCAGUGGAGAAUAUUAGGCGAGGAGGGAAAGUCUGGUCCAGCAAUGCGGCGGAAGUGAGGAAUGCCGUAGGAUACUAAAGCCCGUAGAGCAGAGACGAAAAUGACAGUACCGGGAGAAGAAGCACCGGCUAACUCCGUG
rnacentral:rRNA from 1 species